GCCAGGCAUGGUGGCACAUGCCUGUAAUCCCAGCAGCCUGGGAGGCUGAGGCAGGAUGACACGAGUUCAAAGCCAGCCUCAU
rnacentral:sRNA from 1 species